rnacentral:sRNA from 1 species
CACACACACACACACACACACACACACACACACGGGGUGGGGGUGGUGUGGCAAGGAGAGAGGGGAGGAACUAACCUCAGUAAAGAAUUGGGGAUGGAAAGAUGGCUCCCUGAUGGAAAGCACUUCAUGCAGAGGUCCCAGCACUUACCUCAGGUGGUUCACAACCACCUCUAACUCCACCUCUAGACCCCUUCUGGCCUGAAUGCAACUGUAUUCAAGUAUUCCUCUCCUCACACAGGCACACGCAUGAAAAAACACUGUCUACGUUAACAUGAAUCUUUUAAAGAUUUCAAAAAUUGGGACAGCUGCAAAUGCAAGUGUAUUGGUUGGGAAGGGUGAACUUUGACCUGUGGUCUGGUAUUCUGGUAUGGUGGCAUACACAGCACCUGGGAGGCAGGUGAAUCUCUAUGAGGCUAAGGCCAGCCUGAUCUAUAGAGCCAGGGUUACAUAGUGACACACACCCCCCAUCCAAAAAAGGGGGGACUGCGGGAUAAAUGUUAAAAAUAAAUGCAACCCUGCUUAGAAAUUUUGAAAUGGAUCAGAAAAAAAAAAAAAAAAAAAAAAUAAAUCUUAGCCCGGGCCUUUGCUGUUUUGAUUUAAAGAAAACCACACUAAAACCCUGCCUUCGACAUGACUGAAUUCCUUUGACACAAACUCCCCAAGUCUCUGAGACCUCUUUUCCACAGAAACGCUAGUUACGAGUUUCAGUCAGGAUUAAUUUAGACUUUCUUCUUCCUACAUGUAUCAGAAUCAUUCAUGGAGGGGAAGUUCUUCUGUAUCCAUUCCCAGAAUCCUCUGAGGACGUCUGGUCUCAUUAAAAGAUCAAAUAGAUACUCCAGAUUCGUUAGCUGUUUAACAAAGUGGGAAUUAUUUUCUCACUGCACUCAUGGUUAUGAGAUGGAGAUUACUGAAGUCGCAGGUGAUGUAGGUAACAGGAAACGGAGCAUCUUCCUUCUCUGGGGAAGACAGCGGGGCAUGAGGAUGUUACAUUCACCAUGAGCAUAGCAAGUUCAGAGGGUUGUGAGCCGGAUUCUAGUCCUCUUUUCUCUUUCUGCCCAUCUUCUCCAGGAGAAGGAAUGCACUCUCCAUAUACCUUGCCUCCAAGCUGAGAGGACAGAAAGAAUCAGGUCUGGCCAUCUGCCUAGCAUGGACACGUGGAAUCACGGGGCCUGAGUGCUAUGGAGUGCGUGCGUGCUGAGUCUUUGCAAGGCCCAGAAGCACUAGCCAGUAGAUCUCCAUGAAAUGGUUCCCCAGUGGCUGAAAAGAAUUAUUGAGGCUUUCUACAGAUCUUUCUGUCCUCUAAAUGUGCCACUUGAUGGACAAUUUGCUGUGACACUAACAAGAAAAUGACGAGUGUUCAAAGGUGACGACUCAUCUUCCCUAAUGAGACUUAAGAGUCACAACUUCAACACAAUGAAUGAAGACUAUAGACCACAGGCACAUCUUCUAGCCCAAGCCAGAAGAGGCAGUGAGUGGUGACAGAGCUGGGGAUCGAACCCAGGGCCUUGCGCUUCCUAGGCAAGCGCUCUACCACUGAGGUAAAUCCCCAACCCCAUUCCUUGGCCAUUUUGAGUGUUCCUUUGCGUGUUCAUCACAAUACAAUCAGACCAUCCUGUAGCACUUGGUCCAUACUGUUUCCUGGUGCCAUAAAGAUUAUGGUGGGACAGAGCCUUUCAAACAACUAAAAUAAUGUAAAGAAAAUACCUCCUCCAGAAGUAUGUCAGACCUAUAUAUGUUCUCAUAGCUUCUGUAUAUGAGGUUCUCAUAGCCUUCCUUGCAUAACCACCUCAACACAAGCAUUAGCCUCUUCAGCCCCCUCCAUAGCACAUGUGGAAGUUCUACAGAUGAGAACGGUAACACCUGGCAACACUGACCCUGGCCUGUCACAGACGCAGCUACUGUCUCAUUUAUCCAUCGCUUCUGCUUUCAGCGACAGCUAAAAACGCUUUCAUUUUUAAAGACCUUAUCUGUCCUCUUAGGGACCUAGCUAUGAAGGUAAAGGCACCCAGAAUGUUUUGGCUUAGCUUUUUAAAGAGUGAAUGCUCUAACACAGAGUGGUUCUCUACUUACUCUGACAGCAUCUGGCCCGAUCUCCCUAACUCAAUGCUUUCUGCUUGGCCCCUGCAGCCUGCUCUUCAGCUUCAGUCACAUUUCCACGUAGCAAUAAAAGGCCAGGAGAAUAACCUACAGGUUACACUGUAACUGCAUGCUGGUGGCAUCUUAUUGACCUCUUUAGAUCCAGUCAGGUAAUUCCACACACAUACGGCUGCUUUAAGACUUCUGUGAAGAAAAACAUUGUCCCUCCGCACACAGCCUCUUUACUCUCUCUGUAUGUGCAGCACAUUGUAAUGAUAACCACUAGGUUAGCAGAAGCCACAGAUACUUAUUGUCACCACUCCCACUAUGACAACAAAAGCUUAACAUUGAUUUUAUUUAUAUAUAUAAAUGUGGUCUUUGCUCAGAAUCCAAACUAUUAAUUUAGUCUUAAGUUUCAGGAAAUAAAAUAAUUAUGUAGUUAAACAUAGAUCCUUAUGCAAACAAGUGCUGUAUUUACAAUGUACCAAUCCAUUUACUUAAACCACAGACAGGAGAGGAACCCAGCAGGCAAGCCCUCAUUGGCCUACAAUAGCAGUGAAUAUCCUAUUUCAAUCAGUUCAGAAAACAAUGGUUUACCACCCUAAUGUCAGAGCAAAACAAAUAGUAAAUAGUAAAUGCCUAGUUGAUACUUCUAGCCUGGACCUGAACAGUUAAAUACUGGCUCCCCCCCAACCCCUUUGAAAAGCAACCUUCAAAAUGACAUGAAUUAGCAUAGUUUCUGACUUGGUCACUUUAUAGUUUAGGAGCUGUUGGAUGAAGCAUUUCUUGAAACCACCUCUAGGUUAAAAUGGAUAAGUGUGUGGUACUUUAAACAAAAUACCUAAUGUCCUGUUAAAACACCGUCUCCCAACUAGGAGCUACAAAAGCCCUUCCAGAUCAAGCUCUAACAACACUACAGGAACGGUCAGCACCCAUUUCUUCUUUAGAUCAUACAAAUAAAAGGAAAACCUAUUCUUAAGCACCAAGAACGUAACUAACAGCCAGAAACCUAGGCAAAGUUUUCUUAAGAGGAGGGUUGGUCAGGAUAC